UGCNGUCGAACGGCAGCGCGGGGCNACCUGGCGGCGAGUGGCGAACGGGUGAGUAAUAUAUCGGANNGUGCCCUGGAGUGGGGGAUAACGCAGCGAAAGUUGCGCUAAUACCGCAUACGAUCUAAGGAUGAAAGCGGGGGAUUCGCAAGAACCUCGUGCUCCUGGAGCGGCCGAUAUCUGAUUAGCUAGUUGGUGGGGUAAAGGCCUACCAAGGCAUCGAUCAGUAGCUGGUCUGAGAGGACGACCAGCCACACUGGAACUGAGACACGGUCCAGACUCCUACGGGAGGCAGCAGUGGGGAAUUUUGGACAAUGGGCGAAAGCCUGAUCCAGCAAUGCCGCGUGAGUGAAGAAGGCCUUCGGGUUGUAAAGCUCUUUUGUCAGGGAAGAAACGGUGAAGGCUAAUAUCCUUUGCUAAUGACGGUACCUGAAGAAUAAGCACCGGCUAACUACGUGCCAGCAGCCGCGGUAAUACGUAGGGUGCAAGCGUUAAUCGGAAUUACUGGGCGUAAAGCGUGCGCAGGCGGUUUUGUAAGUCUGUCGUGAAAUCCCCGGGCUCAACCUGGGAAUUGCGAUGGAGACUGCAAGGCUAGAAUCUGGCAGAGGGGGGUAGAAUUCCACGUGUAGCAGUGAAAUGCGUAGAGAUGUGGAGGAACACCGAUGGCGAAGGCAGCCCCCUGGGUCAAGAUUGACGCUCAUGCACGAAAGCGUGGGGAGCAAACAGGAUUAGAUACCCUGGUAGUCCACGCCCUAAACGAUGUCUACUAGUUGUCGGGUUUUAAUUAACUUGGUAACGCAGCUAACGCGUGAAGUAGACCGCCUGGGGAGUACGGUCGCAAGAUUAAAACUCAAAGGAAUUGACGGGGANCCGCACNANCGGUGGAUGAUGUGGAUUAAUUCGAUGCAACGCNAAAAACCUUACCUACCCUUGAC
rnacentral:rRNA from 1 species